rnacentral:rRNA from 1 species
UACAGAGGGGGCAAGCGUUGUUCGGAAUUACUGGGCGUAAAGGGCGCGUAGGCGGCCUGCUAAGUCGAACGUGAAAUCCCCGAGCUCAACUCGGGAACUGCGUCCGAUACUGGCAGGCUUGAAUCCGGGAGAGGGAUGCGGAAUUCCAGGUGUAGCGGUGAAAUGCGUAGAUAUCUGGAGGAACACCGGUGGCGAAGGCGGCAUCCUGGACCGGCAUUGACGCUGAGGCGCGAAAGCCAGGGGGAGCAAACGGGG